GUCGAGCGGUAACAGGUGUAGCAAUACAUGCUGACGAGCGGCGAACGGGUGAGUAAUGCUUCGGAAUCUACCCAAUGGCGGGGAAUAACUAGCCGAAAGGUUAGCUAAUACCGCAUAAGCCCUACGGGGGAAAGCAGGGGAUCGUAAGACCUUGCACCGAUGGAUGAGCCGAAGCCGGAUUAGCUAGUUGGUAGGGUAACGGCCUACCAAGGCGACGAUCCGUAGCUGGUCUGAGAGGACGACCAGCCACACUGGGACUGAGACACGGCCCAGACUCCUACGGGAGGCAGCAGUGGGGAAUAUUGGACAAUGGGGGAAACCCUGAUCCAGCGACGCCGCGUGUGUGAAGAAGGCCUGCGGGUUGUAAAGCACUUUUAGUGGGGAUGAAAAGUUCAGGGCUAAUAUCCCUGGAUCUUGACCUAACCCAAAGAAAAAGCACCGGCUAACUCUGUGCCAGCAGCCGCGGUAAUACAGAGGGUGCAAGCGUUAAUCGGAAUUACUGGGCGUAAAGCGUGCGUAGACGGUUAUGUAAGUCAGGUGUGAAAGCCCCGGGCUCAACCUGGGAAUUGCAUUUGAGACUGCAUAGCUAGGGUACGGAAGAGGGAAGCGGAAUUUCAGGUGUAGCGGUGAAAUGCGUAGAUAUCUGAAGGAACACCAGUGGCG
rnacentral:rRNA from 1 species